GGACAACUUCUCAGCCAUCAAAAAGAACAAAAUAAUGCCAUUUGCAGCAACAUGGAUGCAACUAGAGAUUCUAAUACUAAAUGAAGCCACAAAGAGAAAGACAAAUACCUUAUGGUAUCACUUAUAUGUGGAAUCUAAUAGAUGGCACAAAUGAACUUAUGUAGAGGAAAGAAAGAAACUUGUGGACAUGGAGAACAGACUUGUGGUUGCAAUGGAGAGGAGGGAGUGGGAUGGACUGGGAGUCUGUUAGUAGAUGUGAACUACUGCAUUUGGAGUGGAUAAGCAAUGAGACCCUGCUGUACAGCACAGGGAAAUAUAUCUAGUCACUUGUGAUGGAACACAAUAGAGGAUAGAAGAAGAAUAUAUAUAUACGUAUGUGAAUGACUGGGUCACUUUGCUGUACAGCAGAAAUUGACAGAACAUUGUAAAUCAGCUCUGUAAUAAAUCUUAAAAAAAAAAGAAAGAAAACAUUGCUAUGAUUUAUGUCAGAGAAUUGUUUUGCCUCUGUUCUUUUCUAGGACUUUUAUGGUGUUAUUUCUUAUACUUAAGUCUUUAAACCAUUCUGAGUUAAUUUUUGCGUAGGAUAUGAGUGUUCUAACUUUGACUUGCAUGCAGUUGUCCAGCCUUCCCAACACCACUUGCUGAAGAGAUUGUCUUUUCUGUAUUGUAUAUUCUUGCCUCCUUUGUUGAGGAUCAGUUGACUGUAGGGGUGUGUGUUUAUUCUGGGCUUUCUAUUCUGUUCCGUUGAUCCAUAUGUCUGUUUUUGUGUCACUAUCAUGAUGUUUUGAUUAUCGUAGCUUUGAGGUAUUGACUGAAGUCUGGGAGGGUUAUGCCUCCUGUUUUAUUCUUUUUACUUAGGGUUGCUUUAGCAAUUCUGGGUCUUUUAUGGUUCCAUAUGAGUUUUAGGAUUAUUUGUUCUAGUUCUGUGGAAAAUGUCAUGGGUAAUUUGAUAGGGAUUGCAUUAAAUCUGUAGAUUGCUUUGGGUAGUAUGGCCAUUUUAACAAUAUUAAUUCUUCCAAUUCAAGAGCAUGGGAUAUCUUUCCAUUUCUUUAAAUCAACUUCAGUUCCCUUUAUUAACGUUUUGCAGUUCUCAGAAUCUUUCACCCGGUUGGUCAGGUUUCUUCCUAAGUGGGUUUUGUUUUUGUUUUUAUGUCAUUAAGGGAUUGUUUUUUAACUUUAUGAGAUUUCAUUGUUAGUAUAAAGAAAUGCAGAACUU
rnacentral:lncRNA from 1 species